rnacentral:rRNA from 1 species
UUCUUUUUGUAACAUUUAAAAAGUAAGGCCUGCCCACUGAUUAAUUAAAGGGCCGCGGUAUUAUGACCGUGCUAAGGUAGCAUAAUCAUUAGUCUCUUGAUUGGAGAAUGGAAUGAAUGGCUUCUCUUAAAAAUAUUUUAUUUUUUAAACUAAAUUGAAUUUAAAUUGUAAGUGAAAAUGCUUACGUUAGCUUAAAAGACGAUAAGACCCUAUAGAGCUCAGUUACCCUAAAAGUCACUAUUAUAGGGGGAAUAAUAGUGACUUUUAGGGUAACUUAAUUGGGGCAAUUAAAGAAUAAUAAAAACUUCUUAAGAAAAUCUUAAAGUUUAAAAUUAAAAAAGUUACCUUAGGGAUAACAGCGUAAUGAUUUUUGAGAGUUCUUAUCGACAAAAUUGUUUGCGACCUCGAUGUUGAAUUAAAAAAUCUUUUAGGGGCAGAAUUUUAAUUAGAUAGUCUGUUCGACUAUAAAAUUUUU